UGAACGCUAGCGGCAGGCCUAACACAUGCAAGUCGAACGGUAACAUGAGAGCUUGCUCUUGAUGACGAGUGGCGCACGGGUGCGUAACGCGUAUGCAACUUACCCCAAACUGGAGGAUAGCCUUUGGAAACGAAGAAUAAUACUCCAUAGUAUUUCGAGAAGGCAUCUUCUUGAUCUUAAAGCUUCGGUGGUUUGGGAUAGGCAUGCGUUCUAUUAGUUAGUUGGUGAGGUAACGGCUCACCAAGACCGCGAUAGAUAGGGGGCCUGAGAGGGUUGUCCCCCACACUGGUACUGAGACACGGACCAGACUCCUACGGGAGGCAGCAGUGAGGAAUAUUGCACAAUGGAGGAAACUCUGAUGCAGCCAUGCCGCGUGCAGGAUGAAUGCCCUAUGGGUUGUAAACUGCUUUUAUAUAGGAAGAAACCCAACUACGUGUAGUUGGCUGACGGUACUAUAAGAAUAAGGACCGGCUAACUCC
rnacentral:rRNA from 1 species